UGAAAAUGAAAGGACAGAGAUAAAUCUCACAAGACAUAACAAGUCAGGAUCUGAGAACUAUGCCAUUACGAUUCUUCUCAGAACUCCCUCGUUUUGUUGACAUAAUCAAUGACACUGUUGUUGAAUCAGAAGAAGAUGAACAAGGAGGUGAGAAUCUGGAAUGCUUGCUGUAUCGAUCAAGAAAUCUUCAAGUGUUGCAAGAGAUUGUAGCUGUUUCCCUAGCGAUGCUAUUGUUUUCUGACAGUCUGCAAAUUUUCCUACAGCUGUUCUUAUGUCUUCCUGCAAUAGAAUCAUGCAAUAGAAUCAACUUCAGUGAAA